rnacentral:rRNA from 1 species
UACGUAGGGGGCAAGCGUUGUCCGGAUUUAUUGGGCGUAAAGAGCGUGUAGGCGGCCAGACAGGUCCGUUGUGAAAACUAGAGGCUUAACCUCUAGACGUCGAUGGAAACCGUCUGGCUAGAGUCCGGAAGAGGAGAAUGGAAUUCCUGGUGUAGCGGUGAAAUGCGCAGAUAUCAGGAAGAACACCCGUGGCGAAAGCGGCUCUCUGGGACGGUACUGACGCUGAGACGCGAAAGCGUGGGGAGCGAACAGG